GAGUCAACGUAUGAAUAAUACGUGGCGAACGGCUCAGUAACACGUAGUCAACAUGCCCAAAGGACGUGGAUAACCUCGGGAAACUGAGGAUAAACCGCGAUAGGUCAUAAGUACUGGAAUGUUUUACGGUUCAAAUCUACAUGGCCUCUGGAUUGGACUGCGGCCGAUCAGGCUGUUGGUGAGGUAAUGGCCCACCAAACCUGUUACCGGUACGGGCUCUGAGAGGAGGAGCCCGGAGAUGGGCACUGAGACAAGGGCCCAGGCCCUAUGGGGCGCAGCAGGCGCGAAACCUCUGCAAUAGGCGAAAGCUUGACAGGGUUACUCUGAGUGAUUCCCGCUAAGGGAAUCUUUUGGCAUCUCUAAAAACGAUGCAGAAUAAGGGGUGGGCAAGUCUGGUGUCAGCCGCCGCGGUAAUACCAGCACCCCGAGUGGUCGGGACGAUUAUUGGGCCUAAAGCAUCCGUAGCCGGUCUUGCAAGUCUUCCGUUAAAUCCACCUGCUUAACAGAUGGGCUGCGGAAGAUACUACAAGACUAGGAGGCGGGAGAGGCAAGCGGUACUCAGUGGGUAGGGGUAAAAUCCUCUGAUCCAUUGAAGACCACCAGUGGCGAAGGCGGCUUGCCAGAACGCGCUCGACGGUGAGGGAUGAAAGCUGGGGGAGCAAACCGGAUUAGAUACCCGGGUAGUCCCAGCUGUAAACGAUGCAGACUCGGUGAUGGGCCGGCUUCAUGCCGGCUCAGUGCCGCAGGGAAGCCGUUAAGUCUGCCGCCUGGGGAGUACGGUCGCAAGACUGAA
rnacentral:rRNA from 1 species